rnacentral:rRNA from 1 species
AGUUGGCUGACGCAGACCCGAAACCAAGUGACCUACCCAUGACCAGGUUGAAGGCGCGGUAAAACGCGCUGGAGGACCGAACCCACGUAAGUUGAAAAUUGCGGGGAUGAGUUGUGGGUAGCGGUGAAAUUCCAAACGAACUUGGAGAUAGCUGGUUCUCUCCGAAAUAGCUUUAGGGCUAGCCUCGCAAAGAGGAUGCUGGAGGUAGAGCUCUGUUUGGACUAGGGGCCCGUCAAGGGUUACUGAAUUCAGAUAAACUGCGAAUUCCAGACAUUUAUGUGCGGGAGUCAGACUGCGAGUGAUAAGAUCCGUAGUCGAAAGGGAAACAGCCCAGAUCACCAGUUAAGGUCCCAAAAUUCAUGCUAAGUGGAAAAGGAUGUGGAGUUGCGCAGACAACUAGGACGUUGGCUCAGAAGCAGCCAUCAUUCAAAGAGUGCGUAAUAGCUCACUAGUCGAGUGACGCCGCGCCGAAAAUUUACCGGGGCUAAGCAUGAUACCGAAACUGUGGAUGUGCGUUUAUGCACGUGGUAGGAGAGCGUUCUAGCGGCGGUGAAGCAUGACCGAGAGGACAUGUGGAGCUUCUAGAAGUGAGAAUGCCGGUAUGAGUAACGAAAGACAGGUGAGAAUCCUGUCCGCCGCAAGACUAAGGUUUCCUGGGGCAGGCUCGUCCGCCCAGGGUAAGUCGGGACCUAAGGCGAGGCCGAGAGGCGUAGUCGAUGGACAACAGGUUGAAAUUCCUGUACUGCACCGAAUCGUUAUGAGCGAUGGAGGGACGCAGGAGGCUAGCAGCGCGUGGUGCUGGAUACCACGUUCAAGCGUCAAGUCUGAGAGCGAGUCAAAUGCUUGCUCUCAUAAGGACAAGGCGUGAUGAGGAGCGAAAUUAAAGUAGCGAAGGCUGCGACGUCACCACUGCCGAGAAAAGCUUCUAGCCAGAGACGGUGUACCCGUACCGCAAACCGACACAGGUAGUCGAGGAGAGUAUCCUCAGGUGAGCGAGAGAACUCUCGUUAAGGAACUCGGCAAAAUGGCCCCGUAACUUCGGGAGAAGGGGCGCUGGUCGCAAGAUCAGCCGCAGUGAAAAGGCCCAAGCAACUGUUUAUCAAAAACACAGGCAUCUGCAAAAUCGUAAGAUGAAGUAUAGGUGCUGACACCUGCCCGGUGCUGGAAGGUUAAGAGGAGAGCUUAGCGCAAGCGAAGGUUUGAAUUG